GGCGGGCUGCCCCGUGAGGAGAAGGAGCCCCGUAGGAAAGGCGCCUCCGCCGGGGGUAGCCUCAGGGGCGGGUGGCACGGGAAAACGCCCAGAAGGGGAGAUCUGCGGUGGGAUCAGCGGCGCGGAGCUGCUGAGGAGGGCCCGGGCUGUGUACCCCGGCGGCAGGCAGUGCCCGAGGCCGGGCAGCGGGCCGCGGUGGAGGUGACCGACCGUAGUGCAGCCUGAGCGGGCACAGCCUGGCCCAGUCCCCUCGCCGUGGAUCAGAGCCUGCCCGCCUUGGGCCGAACCAAGCCGAGGCAGGAAAGAGGCCAAAGUAACAGCCACAAACCAUGAAUACUCGUGAUGAACAACCACGUCAGAUUAGCUCUCUGUACAAACUUGAGAGGACCAGGCUGAGAUCAUCAGGGGAGAAGGGCAUCUGUUUCCUUCUCACUGCUGAUGGAGCCAUCCUUUGACUGGCAAGAGCAAUCAGCUUUAGUCUCUGCAACAUUCACAAGUAGAGACCUGUCCCUCACCACAGAGAUGCUAGUGGAUAUUGCAUCCCCUAGAACUUUCGCUCAUUCAAACCAAUAGCUCCCUGCACACAGCAAACAGCAGUAACUGGAGAGAAACCACAGGAAAGUGAAAAGAAAUGAGAAACAGUAUGUUUAUAAGCAGCAGUGGGAUUAGUUAUUUUUUCUUAAAAUUAUUACUUUCUGUCUAUUCCUGAUUAUAAUAGUUCCCGAAGCUAAAAAGGCAGCGCAUUUCAGCCAUGCAUGGAGGGGUUAAAAUCAGACGACACGUA